rnacentral:tRNA from 1 species
GGGCGAUUGGCACAGCGGUAGCGCACUGCCUUCACACGGCAGGGGUCACUGGUUCGAUCCCAGUAUCGCCCACCA